rnacentral:rRNA from 1 species
CGCCCGCACUAGCCCUGUCUUUCCCGCCUUCCCUUAAACAAACCAUUUGCCAUGGCCAGUAGAUGCGAUCGACCGCCACGUAUGACGCCAUAGAGAUAGUACCGCAAGGGAUUUCCCCGCCAAGCGCCGCACAGCAGAGCCUAGCCCUCGUACCUCUUGCAUCAUGGUUUAGCAAGCUCCCGGCCGCUAGACGACUCGUCGCGCCCUGACCCGAACCCGAGUGAGCUACUUCUGAGCCACUGCCCGUCUCUGUAGCAAAAGAGUGGGUCGAUUUAGAAGUAGCGGCGACAAACCUACCGAACCCGGUAAUAGCUGGCUGCUUAGCAAUGAAUUUUAGUUCGGCUCUAACAACCCCACACACUAAUAUGUCAGUUAGAGUUACUCGUUGACGGUACAGCCUCAACGAGCUGGGCUACAACCCACCCCCGAGGGUAAGUCUCUUCUUCACCAACUGUAGGCUUUAAAGCUGCCACCCACAGAAACAGCGUCGAAGCGAUCACUCCAAAAAUCCCUAAUCACGUAACCAACCCCGGCAAGAAUAAAAGCUAUUCUACAACUGUAGACGCACCAAUGCUAAAACUAAUAAUAAGAAAUAUCUCUAUGCGCCUCCCCCAGUCAGGAAUAAACCCUCGCUGACCCACAUCGGCUAAAUCCCCACACCACACUAUUCCUCACACCACUUUUUUCCCCGUGACACCAACACCGGGGCGCAACAAAGAAAGAUGAAAAGCCAUAAAAGGAACUCGGCAAACCCGGACCCCAACUGUUUACCAAAAACAUAACCCUUAGCCAUACAAGUAUUAAAGGCAUCGCCUGCCCAGUGAAAAUUCUUUAACGGCCGCGGUACCCUAACCGUGCAAAGGUAGCAUAAUCACUUGCCUAUUAAUUGUAGGCUGGCAUCAACGGCUGCAUGAGGGCCCCCCUGUCUCUUAUAGCCCAUCAAUGAACCUGAUCCCUCAGUCCAAAAGCUGAGAUGUCCUCAUAAGACGAGAAGACCCUGUGAAACUUCAAUCAUCCCCUUUAAACUAAUCAGGGGUACUUUCCGUUGGGGCGACGUCGGGGCAAAACUAAACCCCCGAGAAACGUGAUACUCACAGAUAGGCUGACAAGCCCAUUACGACCCAGUAAAACCUGAUCAACGAAAUAAGCUACUCCAGGGAUAACAGCGCCAUCUUCUUCAAGAGCCCAUAUCAAAAAGAAGGUUUACGACCUCGAUGUUGGAUCAGGGCACCCAAGUGGCGCAGCCACUACUAACGGUUCGUUUGUUCAACGAUUAACAGC